rnacentral:rRNA from 1 species
UACGUAGGUGGCAAGCGUUAUCCGGAUUUAUUGGGCGUAAAGCGAGCGCAGGCGGUUGCUUAGGUCUGAUGUGAAAGCCGUUCGGCCUUAACCGGAGAAGUGCAUCGGAAACCGGGCGACUUGAGUGCAGAAGAGGACAGUGGAACUCCAUGUGUAGCGGUGGAAUGCGUAGAUAUAUGGAAGAACACCAGUGGCGAAGGCGGCUGUCUGGUCUGCAACUGACGCUGAGGCUCGAAAGCAUGGGUAGCGAACAGG